CGCAAGGGUGAGUAAGGCGACGGUACACCCACGGUUGGGCAUAGCCGCGGGAAACUGCGGGUAAUUCCCAGCGACGUCAGUGAGCGGCAUCGCUUGCUGGACCAAAGUUCCGGCGUCGUGGGACGGGCCGUUGUGGUAUUAGCUAGUUGGCGGGGUGACGGCCCACCAAGGCGGCGAUGCCUACCGGGCGUGCGAGCGUGGCCCGGCACACUGGGACUGAGACACUGCCCAG
rnacentral:rRNA from 1 species